rnacentral:rRNA from 1 species
GAUGAACGCUAGCGGCAGGCCUAAUACAUGCAAGUCGAACGGGAUCCAGAUCAAAGCUUGCUUUGGUUUGGUGAGAGUGGCGUACGGGUGCGUAACGCGUGAGCAACCUACCCUUGUCAGGGGGAUAGCCCGGCGAAAGUCGGAUUAAUACCGCAUGACAUCAUUGAGAGGCAUCUUUCGAUGAUCAAAGAUUUAUCGGACAAGGAUGGGCUCGCGUGACAUUAGCUAGUUGGUAAGGUAACGGCUUACCAAGGCUACGAUGUCUAGGGGCUCUGAGAGGAGAAUCCCCCACACUGGUACUGAGACACGGACCAGACUCCUACGGGAGGCAGCAGUAAGGAAUAUUGGUCAAUGGACGGAAGUCUGAACCAGCCAUGCCGCGUGCAGGAAGACGGCCCUAUGGGUUAUAAACUGCUUUUAUACGGGAACAAACGUCGGUACGUGUACCGGUCUGAGUGUACCGUAAGAAUAAGGAUCGGCUAACUCCGUG